rnacentral:lncRNA from 1 species
AUGAAAACCUCAAACCCUAAAGCAGAUGGGGCCUCUCCAUUCAAACCCACUCUUGAAUUUUCUCAUCAGUCCACUCCCGACCUGAGGACUGUAACUUCCUUUAACAAAUUCCUCCAUCCUUACUACUGCUGUGUGUUCUGCUCAAUUCCUUGUUCAGGACACAAAGAGCUGCAUUUACGGGGAAACCCAGCAUCUGAAGAGAACCUGUCUCACUAG